CACGUAGGGCGCGAGCGUUGUCCGGAAUUAUUGGGCGUAAAGAGCUCGUAGGCGGCCUGUUGCGUCCGCUGUGAAAGCCCGGGGCUUAACCCCGGGUCUGCAGUGGAUACGGGCAGGCUAGAGGUAGGUAGGGGAGAGUGGAAUUCCCGGUGUAGCGGUGAAAUGCGCAGAUAUCGGGAGGAACACCGGUGGCGAAGGCGGUUCUCUGGGCCUUACCUGACGCUGAGGAGCGAAAGCGUGGGGAGCGAACAGG
rnacentral:rRNA from 1 species